CCACGAGGGUUAACAUCGGAGCGAAUAGGAAGGGAAGAAAACCCAGAUAUGAAGCGAAAACGAAGGACCAAACAUAUAGCAGGAGUCACCUAGAAAAGGCUAGAGUUAAACUGUUGGGACCCGAAAGAUGGUGAACUAUACUUGUGGUGUUUGAAGCCGAAAAAACUUGGGUGGAAAGACUUGGCCGUGUUAAUGUGCAAAUUACUUGCAAUAUAUGAGUAUGGGGCGAAAGACUAAUAGAACUAUCUAGUAGCUGGUUCCACCUGAAUAUUCCCUUGGGAAGGUUGAAGUGAGGAAGUAGUGACGAUUGGUAAAGACAAUGAUUACACAUGAUGGACGGUUUGAUUUUUCAACAAUUUAACAAACUAUAAAUAGUCGAGAGAUUCAAAAAUAUACUAAUUUAUUAGGAAUGAGCAUAUGCAGACUUCAAUUCGUCCAAGUUUGGUAAGCAGGACUGGCGAUGCGGGAUGAACCAAACAUACAGAUAAAGUAUCCAAGUCUUGCAUGAGGAGAACAAUUGAAAAUAUUUAUUCAUAUUGACAGGAAAUUUGCCAUUGAAAUUGUAAAUUUUCAAAAAAAGUUUAACAACUCAUUUACAGAAUGGAUGAACCUUGAAAAUGGAAGGUAUUAUAAUGAGAGAGAGUGAUACUGUAUUUUUGUGGAGGCUGAGGCGCAUGAGGAGUAAGGAAAUGCAUGGUGUCAAGAAUACAUGAGUGAUAAAGGUAGAGAAGUAAUUUCUAUUGAAACAGACUUGAGUACAGAUCUUGG
rnacentral:ncRNA from 1 species